ACGACGUAUGCUGCUAGUGUUCCCGCGUCUGGUUCUGUCCCGAUUCUGAAGCUUCAGAGUGUUUCUAAUUGCUAUACGCGGCAUUUGUUACGUGGCAUACGCGUUGUUUGUCAAGGAUGCCGGAUGAUAAUGUCUGCAGUGUGCCUUACUGCAAGAAUACCUGAACGAGGAAUCCGAACGUUUCGUUUUACCAUACCCUAGACGCCGAUGUGCGGAGCGAAAGUGGUAACCUACGAUUGCGUGCUAUCAUUACUGAUUGCCCCAACUUUGCACUUUGGUGCGUGCUAUCAACCGUGGGAUAAAACUGAAAACGGCGUCUCGUGUAUGUUCCAUGCACUUCUCAGACGACGACGCGUACGUUACGACGUAUAGUGAUAUCUUCAAAGCAAGACUGAGCGUGCCACCGACAACGAAGAAAAGAACAAGUCGUUAAAAGCGAUGUUGUGCCGACCGUCUUUUUAUGACUCCUGUGGAGAAGAUAUCUGAAGACUGAAACCCAUGCAUAUGGCAAGCACAUCGAUGGACAUUCGCACUGGCACAAUGACAGCUACAAGCAUAAGACUUUCUGCAGUACAUAUGAGUUCGGUUUCGUGGACACUAGCUGAAUUGAAACUACCGGUAGAUGAUACUGAGCCAUUGACAGGAGUAUUUGAGGCGGUCACUCCCAGUUGCUGUUUUCUUUUCCCGGCGCAUGAAAUCAUUAUUGUACGACGGUACCUUUAAGCGCGCAUAUGAUACCGUUUCGCGCUCCACGCCUUGAGGUUUUUGGAGUAUCUCGUCGACUCUGCAGCUGGCUCCACGAUUUCCUUACGGACCGAACCGUCGCUGUCCGCACAUCCCACGGCCAAAGCCCUAAGCACCCUGUCCAUCAAGGCGCACCCCAAGGAAGCAUUCUCAGUCCAACACUCUUUAAAAAGGGACAGUCUGGACCCCAGAUGUGAAGUAAAUAUGCCUCAUCAGGUGAUUCCUUCUAUCUUUCCUAGCCAUCAUGCAAAAUAUUUCUUUUAUAUACGGCUGCGAGAAUUUGUGAUGCAAUUUUCAACUUGCAUCUUUUGCCCCCGACUGAAAGCCGCACUUGGACAGUCGUGACGCCAGGAGCGUUCUCCGUUCUCUUCCGGCCUUUGCGGCGUCUGCUCGGCUCCUCUCGGCGGGCUGUGUGUUCUUUGUACGUCGCCGUUCUUGGUUUCUGUACAUUCAAUACGUAUGGCAUUCCUGCUUUUCAGUAACAGUGAAUGGUUACUGCACAUGUGACGGUGUAUGUUGAGCGAUGAAGCGUAGGUGUUCCUUAGUGCAUCGUGAGAAAGUGAAUGAAAACACAACGUACGUGUCAUUUUUCGGGUUUGCGAAGACCGAACUCCUAAAGCAGUUGGGGGUAGCCAGUAUUCAUCGUCCUGGAUAAAAGCUCUGUGCAGUACCAAUGCCUUUUCAAAAGACAAGUAACCGCCGUAUUCUUGAACGAGCCUCGACUCGAAACUCGACUCGAGCUGCUCCUCGAGGACGGUUUUGCGCUUCAUAAAUCGACCUUGACUCGAAACGCUCCUCGAGUGGAGGAAUUCCUCCGUGCAUUCCUCGAAAAUCUCGAGGUAGCAUCGGUGCUACCUCGAGAACGCUCCUCAACUCGGGUUUGGCUGGUGUAAUGGCGGAAGACAGGUCGUUCGCUGCGUCCAUCGACUGCGUUUUGUGCCACGAUGGCCUUUAACUGGGUGCUGACAACACUACCACUGAGCGACAACGUUCAAUAAGGGGCCAUCAAACUCCUUUUGACUAAUUUGAUGAUCACGAGUUCCUCAUAUGGUAUACGGUACCGCUUCAUGAAGACAACCGUACGAAGCCUUUUGGAUACAUUGCCGCUGGAGGAAAAUGUGUGCAAUCGUGGGCUGCCUCUACCUCCUGUGCUACAGCUGCCCGUCGACAUGUGAUUUUAUGGCGUUAGGACUUUCGAACUGCCACCGGAGACAUUGUGAAUGUGUCACAAACGACGUUGUGCCGCGUUGUGGACAAAAUCCCACACCUUCUCGCAAGCACACUUUUCAAGACAAGGUGUAAUAAAUUGUCCUUCUGUCGCGCUAUUUAGCACAAAGAAGGUGUGUUUGAAGGAUGUUUUCACGCAAAAAGUGGUGCAAAAAAGAAGCAGUGCAUUGACUGGAUAUCUAAAAAAAAAAAAAAAAAAUAAACAUCUGAUCUGCCUCCUCAAUGUUUUUCCGUAAUCUUUAUACUGUAUCAAGCUGGCCCAACCCCUGCUAUUCUGUCUCCAGCUAUCACCGAAACGGCUCAACAAAUCUUCCAUUCAUGUCUUUUUUUCUCUCGUUUUCUUUUUUUUGCAGUUGUUGUUCCAAUAGCACGAACUCCGUUUGUUGGGUGGGAUAACAGGCUCCACCGUUUUGGCAGAGCGCGAAUGAGGGCCAUAAAACUUCGUACGACAUGCUCGCGGUGACUCCCCAAGAAUGGUCUCCCCGAUUCUUUGCUCGGGAUGUAGUUGUAAAAUCUGUUUUGUUCGUUUGAUUGUUUAUAGCUACCCUCAACGCGUUGGGUAAACGUACCCAUCCGCUAACAAACAGUCAUUCACGCCACAUAACAUAACACGUAACAUAAUAGUAGAGUGACAAGCAGUGACAUCAUCUUUCAUAUUAUUUGAUACGAGGUGACCAUGCCAUUAAGCUAUCUGCUGCCGUUGUGGUUGUAAUUGCCAGACCAGAAAACUAGGAAACCUAUCAGUCUGUUUCCCUGUUCGAAACACCUGCACCCUCCUUCAAACACUUGCAGACCUUUGUGUUUGUAUUUGUAAUGCAGGUUGGUCGAAAUAAAGUAAAGAAUUACAUUUAU